rnacentral:rRNA from 1 species
GGAAGUAAAAGUCGUAACAAGGUUUCCGUAGGUGAACCUGCGGAAGGAUCAUUAUUGAAUUCUAAAGCCAUUGAGUAGAUGCUGUUGCUGGCCCUCUUUUGAGGACAUGUGCACGUAUUCUGCUUGUUGGAUAUUUUCCACCUGUGCAUGAUUUGUAGGCUUCCUAGGAUUUGAGAGAUGAGUUAUGUCUCUCUGAUAGUGUCUAGGUUGUCUAUGUUCUUUUAAAAACAUAUAUGCAUGUCUAAAAUGUAGCGAGCUCAUUGAAUUUUGAGCCUUUAAAAGUACAACUUUCAACAAUGGAUCUCUUGGCUCUUGCAUCGAUGAAGAACGCAGCGAAAUGCGAUAAGUAAUGUGAAUUGCAGAAUUCAGUGAAUCAUCGAAUCUUUGAACGCAUCUUGUGCUCCUUGGUACUCUGAGGAGUAUGCCUGUUUGAGUGUCAUUAAAUUAUCAAAAAGUAACCUUGAUUGCUAAUGAGGUUACUUUUGGAAAUCGGGAAUUGCAGGAAUCUCCCUCCGGUUGACCAGCUUUCCUAAAAUGCGUCGUAGCAGUAACUAAUGCUUUAUUGGUGUGAUAAAGAAAAUGAUCACCAGCAUGGCGUAGGUUUUAUGCUAUGUUUUUCGGGCUAUGAUUGAUGAAAUUGACCUCAAAUCAGGUAGGACUACCCGCUGAACUUAAGCAUAUCAAUAAGCGGAGGA